CGCGAAUCGCCCUUCGGGGUGCCCAGGCGCGAAAACUUUACAAUGCUGGCAACAGCGAUAAGGGGACCUCGAGUGCCAGGAUACAAUCUUGGCUGUCGUGAUGCCUAAAAAGCAUUGCAUAGCAAGGGCCGGGCAAGACCGGUGCCAGCCGCCGCGGUAACACCGGCGGCUCGAGUGGUAACCGCUAUUAUUGGGUCUAAAGGGUCUGUAGCCGGCCGAAUAAGUCUCUUGGGAAAUCCGACAGCUCAACUGUCAGGCUUUCAGGAGAUACUGAUCGGCUCGAGGCCGGGAGAGGUGAGAGGUACUUCAGGGGUAGGGGUGAAAUCUUGUAAUCCUUGAAGGACCACCAGUGGCAAAGGCGUCUCACCAGAACGGUCCUGACGGCAAGGGACGAAAGCUAGGGGCACGAACCGGAUUAGAUACCCGGGUAGUCCUAGCCGUAAACGAUACUCGCUAGGUGUCGGCCACGGUGCGACCGUGGUCGGUGCCGUAGGGAAGCCGUGAAGCGAGCCACCUGGGAAGUACGGCCGCAAGGCUGAAACUUAAAGGAAUUGGCGGGGGAGCAC
rnacentral:rRNA from 1 species